rnacentral:rRNA from 1 species
UACGUAGGGUGCGAGCGUUAAUCGGAAUUACUGGGCGUAAAGGGUGCGCAGGCGGUUCUGCAAGUCAGGCGUGAAAUCCCCGGGCUUAACCUGGGAAUGGCGCUUGAAACUACGGGACUGGAGUAUGGCAGAGGGAGGUGGAAUUUCACGUGUAGCGGUGAAAUGCGUAGAGAUGUGGAGGAACACCGAUGGCGAAGGCAGCCUCCUGGGCCAAUACUGACGCUCAUGCACGAAAGCGUGGGGAGCAAACAGG